rnacentral:lncRNA from 1 species
ACAGCCUGAGGUUCUGAUGUAGCCAUGCAAGCACCUGACCUUUAUCGGUAUCCACUCAGGUAGGACCUGGAACGUCUUCUCCUCAUAAAUCUAUGGUCCAAAAAUCAGAUCUAAAUCUGAUUAGAAAGAUCUUCAAAAGUCUUCCUGAAGUUGGAGCAGCAGCCUGUCGAAGAAGUUCUGCAGCCUUCUGUUCCAGACAUCACCAUGCCUUGGAUCUUUGCUAGAUGGAUGUCCAACUCUUUGGACAUGAAGAGGGGAGGAAGGAG